rnacentral:misc_RNA from 1 species
UACAUGCAUUUAGUUUAGAUACUCCACCGCUCUGGAUAUGCGAACAAAGAUUAAAAUUCAAGGAGGCUCGACAGCCAGUUGUGUUGAAAAUCAAGAGGCUAUCGCAUGAUGAUUCCACCUGCACGAGCAAAGCGCGUGUGUGCUUAUCGCAGGACGAGAGUGACGUCAUCUCCUGCAAGGAGCAACUGCAUCAUAAUCAUAGCCACAGAGUGAAGAGACCGAAAGCAGAUGAAAGCUCAACGACAGAAGCAAUAAUCGGGAGCAAAACUUCCAAAGGUUUGGCACAAUAAACCCGGAAAGGAGUUGAAAUGGAAAUUUCAUACGACAACUGCAAGCGGGCAUUGCAACGCAAAAGAAAGAAGUUUAAAGAACUGAAAACCCCGUAGACUUCAUGAACCCAGGUGGCACAAAAAAUUUCAAGGACAAGGUGUUUUUGGGCUCAAAAACGUGCAGAUGACUUACAAGAUGUUAGAAAAUCAUUUAUUUGCUUGGAAAUAAGCAAGAACUGAAUGUACGCCACUUAAUAGUAUUACCAAAUGAUGAGUUUUCUCAUCUCAGUUUUAUAAAGGUCUUGGAAAUCACCGAAUGACUACCUGCCAUUUUCAAAUGUACAAAGAAAACUUUACUUUUCGUUUUUUCAUUUGGAAGACUUUUGUCGUUGACUUUUUCAUUUUAUUCGCGUGCAUAUUAAAUAUGUAUGUUAAAUAUACAUUAUAAUAAAUGAUCGCUGUGUUUAAGCAUCGAUUAAAAAAGUUGAAGAACA